rnacentral:rRNA from 1 species
UACGUAGGGGGCAAGCGUUGUCCGGAAUUAUUGGGCGUAAAGAGCUCGUAGGCGGUCCAUUAAGUCGGAAGUGAAAUCUCAGGGCUCAACCCUGAAAUUGCUUUCGAUACUGGUGGACUUGAGGCAGGUAGGGGAAGGUGGAAUUCCUGGUGUAGCGGUGAAAUGCGCAGAUAUCAGGAGGAACACCAGUGGCGAAGGCGGCCUUCUGGGCCUGUUCUGACGCUGAGGAGCGAAAGCGUGGGGAGCAAAC